rnacentral:rRNA from 1 species
UAGCUUGCUAAUGAAAUUCUUAGUGGCGGACGGGUUAGUAACACGUGAGAAUCCUACCCUUGAGUGGGGAAUAGCCUUUCGAAAGGAAGAUUAAUGCCCCAUAGUCUCUACGGAGUAAAGAUGCCUUCGGGUGUCGCUUAAGGAUGGGCUCGCGGCCUAUCAGCUAGUUGGUGAGGUAAGAGCUCACCAAGGCAACGACGGGUAGCUGGUCUGAGAGGACGAUCAGCAACACUGGAACUGAGACACGGUCCAGACACCUACGGGUGGCAGCAGUCGAGAAUCAUUCACAAUGGACGAAAGUCUGAUGGUGCAACGCCGCGUGGAGGAUGACGGCCCUAGGGUUGUAAACUCCUGUCAUCAGGGAGUAAGACUUAUUCGUUAAUAGCGUGUAAGUUUGAUAGUACCUGAAGAGGAAGGGACGGCUAACUUCGUGCCAGCAGCCGCGGUAAUACGAAGGUCCCAAGCGUUGUUCGGAAUAACUGGGCGUAAAGCGUGUGUAGGCCGCGCGGAAAGUCGGAUGUGAAAGCCCAAGGCUCAACC